rnacentral:rRNA from 1 species
UAAGGGAUAUUGCGCAAUGGGCGAAAGCCUGACGCAGCAACGCCGCGUGGAGGAUGACGGCCUUCGGGUUGUAAACUCCUUUGGGGGGGGACGGAGGAAGGACGGUACCCCCACAACAAGUCACGGCUAACUACGUGCCAGCAGCCGCGGUAAAACGUAGGUGGCGAGCGUUAUCCGGAUUUACUGGGCGUAAAGGGUGUGCAGGCUGCCCCUCAAGUGGUGUAUGAAAGGGCUCGGCUCAACCGGGCUAGGUUAUGCCAGACUGAGGGGCUAGAGAGCGAGAGCGGGACGUGGAAUUCCGGGUGUAGUGGUGAAAUGCGUAGAGAUCCGGAGGAACCCCAGAGGCGAAGGCGGCGUCCUGGCUCGCAUCUGACGCUCAGACACGACAGCAUGGGGAGCGAACGGGAUUAGAAACCCCGGUAGUCCAUGCCGUAAACGAUGCAUACUAGGCGUCGGGGGACUCAACCCCCUCGGUGCCCGCACGUUAACACGGUAAGUA